rnacentral:snoRNA from 1 species
GUUGCUUCACGACUGGAUGGAUGGCCUGUUGUUAAUAGUUUGGCCAUCCUGUAGAGGGAAGCAUAGAUGAACCGGUGACACUGGCCAGCAUUAAACAACAUGACGCUCUAUCAAACUGCGUCUUGUUACCUGUCUUCUGGCACAUGG